rnacentral:ncRNA from 1 species
GUGUUAAUGCACGGGAGCUGAAAAGCUGAGAGGGAGAUUCGAUCUCCGACCGUUGAACGUGACACGGCUAAUACCGUCGAACGAAGUCAUCGCUUUCUCUGCG